rnacentral:lncRNA from 1 species
AACAUGCCCUAUUUAGCCCUCAAUGCAUAUACUGCUGCCUUUCUGAGGUCUUGAAGUCAAUGAAAUAAAUUACUCUAAAAAGAAGUGCUAUGCAGCCCCUUAGAACAGUAAACAAGAACAGUUCAGGUCUUUUCAGGAACCUGAAGCCAAGGGAUGGUUUGUUUUUUUGGUCUCCAGGAAGAACCAGUACAGAAGGAGGUAUUGACCUCGCUACUUUGGCUGGCACCCACCAGGUCCCUUCCUGGCGCUCACAUUCCCCAAGUGUGUAACUCAACACCUGUCCUUCUGCGGCAAACAGAGCUUACAGUGAUGGCUGAGCCCCUCCUGCCCUGGCCCUACCGGCAGCUCGCACCUUUCACUUAGGAUUUCAAACUCUCAAAAACCAGAGUCAGAGAAUAAAUUCUCCCUCAGGAUUCUGGUUUGGGCCAGGAAAAAAAAAAUAAUCAGAAAAACAACUCCCACAAGAAGUCCUGGGAUCAGCACAGCAAUCUCUUUCUAGCUCCAGACCUAGAUGAGGGAAGGUGUAGGGAUCUUAGAGACCUCUAAAUCUCACAAGUGGCUCCCUCUGAACCAGAGAGGGGCAUGUGGUCUGAGUGAUGUCCUCUUUUACUGUUUGAAUGCCAGCUCAUCUGAGCUACACAACACCCCCUGUUAUUUCUGUCUGACAUGGCCAAGCUGAAUCUCUGGUAAGUAAAUAAUUAAUUUGGAAGUUGGGGAUGUCAGUGGAAAAGUCGGCUCUGA